AUAUGUCUCUGUUAGGUGAGGCUCCUGUAUAGAGAAACGCUGCUACCCAAAAAUGUCGAGAUACGCCAAUCGGUCAACAGGAACGGUCCAAUUAAGGCCCUUCUUCUUAAUGUAGAUGGUUUUAAACCUAUACUGUACAGUGCUAAAACUCAAUGAGGGGGCUUUU
rnacentral:sRNA from 21 species